GGCUGCGUAGCUCAGCGGUUAGAGCGGGCGCUUCAUAAGCGUCAGGUCAGUGGUUCAAAUCCACUCGCAGCUACAA
rnacentral:tRNA from 2 species